rnacentral:lncRNA from 1 species
AUGUAUAAGGAAAUCUCAAAAAUAAAUGUAAAAAUAGAUUAUUUGAACAGACAUGGCAGUAAGAAGAUAAACAGAAGUCAAGCGCGUGGAAGAGUGUUCGACAGGACAUCGCUUGUCAUCAAGGAGGCACACCUUCCAUCUUUCUCGCUGAGGCAGCUGAGGAGGAAGGAGCCGUUGGGGGGAGGUAGGCUGGGGCCCCCCAGGCCGACUGUUGCCCAGAAGACCUGGUGCUUGGUUUCCGCAGGCCACGGUGUGCCGGGGUGUAGACGGCGGCUGCAGGCCCAGCCCUCCGGUUCUGGGCGCACUGACGGCAGAGGCUGUGAGGGGAACCCCAGAGCCUCGGGGCCACGAGGCCCAUUCAGGGGACUGCGAACUAAGGCCUUGCGAACAGGUGGGAGACGUCGCCGGCAGAUUCACAGGACGAACCACCUGGCCCCUGUGGCGGAUGCAAGGGCAGGUGCCAGGGCGGAGGUUGCGCCAGGACCCAAGGAACUGGGAACUCUCCCUGGAAACAGAGAGAUGAGAAAACUCCAGAAGGAAGGUUCUUGCGAGUAAAUCUGAUGAAGCGGUUUGCCAUGAGAAUCGCCUCUGACACUCCAAAGCAAAAGCACUGAACAAAAGUCGACUUUCACAGAAGUGGCUAUCGCAUGAUUUCUCCUGCAAGGGCCAGUACUUUCUAUUUCAUGAUGAUCUGCGUCCUCUGCUAUGCUUCAUCUCAUGCUUGACUGAUUGCAAGUGUGAAGGGGGGUUAACUGUAUUCGCUAUUGGCAAUUUAGCAUUAAUUGUAAUACGCUGUAAUCCAAAUUACAAUCUGUCAUUGCCAGUCAAAUUGUGAAGCGUUGUAAUUGCGUUUUAGAGUUCUGCUGCCGUUGAUGAUUGCUACCUCAUUUGUGUUUUAAUAUCCCGUGACGAAUUUGCAAAUGGAAAUACAAUCCUGUAACAAGCCAGGAAACAAGCAUUGUUCGUCCUAUUAUAACAGCUAGAAAAUUAUUUCUUAACAAAU